UACCUAUCGUUGCCUCGGCGGACCGCCCCGGGAGGACGGGCCUUGACGGGCCCACCCGCCCCGGACCCAGGCGCCCGCCGGAGGACCAAACAACUCUUGUAUUUUAUAAAGAUCUUCUGAGUCUUCAUAUUACAAAUGAAUCAAAACUUUCAACAACGGAUCUCUUGGCUCUGGCAUCGAUGAAGAACGCAGCGAAAUGCGAUAAGUAAUGUGAAUUGCAGAAUUCAGUGAAUCAUCGAAUCUUUGAACGCACAUUGCGCCCGCGAGUAUUCUCGCGGGCAUGCCUGUUCGAGCGUCAUUUCAACCCUCAAGCCCCCGGGCUUGGUGUUGGGGAUCGGCGAGCGCGGCCUUCAAACAGCCGCGGCCGGCCCCGAAUUCUAGUGGCGGUCUCGCUUGCAGCCUCCUCUGCGUAGUAGUAACAUUCUCGCACCGGAGCGCGGGCGCGGCCACGCCGUAAAACACCCCACUUCUGAAAGGUUGACCUCGGAUCAGGUAGGAAUACCCGCUGAACUUAAGCAUAUCA
rnacentral:rRNA from 1 species